rnacentral:sRNA from 1 species
UAAACUCGGUUAUAGGCGUGGUUGGCCA